AUGUCAUCUUGUUACUGGCUGUGUUCCAAACCCCUCGGUUUUGGUCUACCCAGCACGAAGAAUGUUAGCGGGCAACAAGGCAAAAAAUUAAAAAAGGCCAACGAAGUGGAAGUAGAAAAAGAAUUUUAUUAUAAACAAGUAGGAAGUGGAAGUACACUCCACAGGGUGGGUGUGGGCCUUCAUCCUCUGGGACUCCGGCCUCCUGUGCUCUUUGUCUCUGAGCUUUUAUCAUUUUCACCUGGAACAGCCGUGGCUCAGCAGAUGACAACACAACUUCUAGUGUGGGUGGCCAUGGUAGGAGGUGCCCAGCCCAGGGCUAUUUGGGCCAGGACUGAACUUCUCAAUGUCUGCAUGGAUGCCAAGCACCACAAAGAAAAGCCAAGCCCUGAGGACAAGUCACAUGAACAGUGCAUUCCCUGGAAGAAGAAUGCCUGCUGCUCUACCAACACCAGCCAGGAAACCCAUAGGGAUAUUUCCUACCUAUGGAGAUUCAACUGGGACCAUUGUGGAGAGGUGGUACCCACCUGCAAACAGCAUUUCACCCAGGACACCUGCCUGUAUGAGUGCUCCCCUAACUUGGGGACCUGGAUCCAGCACAUAGACCAGAGCUGGUGCAAAGAGUGGGUCCUGAACAUACCCCUGUGAAGAGGACUAUCAGCUCCAGCAAGAGGAUUGUCGCUCCUCCUACACCUGCAAUAGCAACUGCCACAAGGGCUGGAACUGAACCUCAGAGUAUAGCAGGUGCCCAGUGGAAGCUGCCUGCCACCCUUUCCAUUUCUACUUCCCCACAUCUGCUGUUCCAUGCAAUGAAAUCUGGAGUCACUCCUACAAAGUUAGCAACUACAGCCAAGGGAGCCGCCACUCCAUCCAGAUGUGGUUUGGCCCAGCCCAGCACAACCCCAAUGAAGAGGUGGCAAGGUUCUGUGAGGCCAUGAGUGGGACUGGGCUCCCUGGCACCUGGCCCUGCCCCCCUGCUCAGCCUGGCCCUAAUGCUCCUCUGGCUGCUCUGCUGA